GUGGGCACGGACCUCUGCUCUGGCCAGAGGUGCCGGUUGAGGGCCGGAGCAUAGUGGUGGCCAGCGGCCACGCACCUUUCCCCUUACUAGCAGGUCACAGGGAAACGCUGGCACAGUCUCAUGGUGUAGAGGACUGUGACACUUUCUGCCUUGGUCUUCCUGGCUUUUCUUUGCUUUGUAAGAUAGCAUCCUCGUAUUCCCAUUUGACCGCAGCAUCCUGUUCCGAAAGAGUCUGUCGUCAACCAGCUUGCCCGCGGAUCCCGGGACUAGAUGUGUGGAACACAGCAGCGCAGUGUUUGCGCCUCCCGUCCUCACACUCCUGUCCUCACACUCCUGGUGGCAUGUUGGAGUGGUGGUGGCUAUCAGGGUGCUCAUCGGGACACAGGGCUUACAGGGUGAGCAAGCGGGAACGAAGAAGGGUGGUAGAUGGAGUCCUCUACACAGAUGGGCUCCCCUUUUCUCCAAGAGCCCCAGCAGGGGUUUUGUUGGAGAACAAGUUCAUUUCUGUUCCUUCGGUUCUCCAGCUCUUUUUGGGCUUCUGGAAAAGUUCUGUUUGCAAGUCUCCUCAUCUUUCAAAACAGGUUUCAUUUUGGACUUUUACUUUGAAGGGGUGGUCCUGGGUUCCUUAGAUUUGGUUGGUGAAUCUUGGUUCCUCCUUUCAACACUUUUGUCACUGGGAUUGGCUGUACCCUCCCCAGAGUCCUGCCUAGGCUCUGCCCUUGCUCAGGUUUCUGUACUUCUUUGAACUUGUUAUUUUUCUCUCUUAGUCUGUGAAGUCUCUUUUUAGGUAAGUAAUGAGAAUCUGUGUAUAGCAUUAGAGCUGCAAAGAGAUGUCUUUGUAAUUUUUUCCUUUUUUCCUUUUUUUUUUUUUUUUUUUUUGUAUCAAAGUAAAGCAAACCUUCUAAGAAAGGCUGAAGAUUAGGAAUUCCAUUCAUUCUAAUCAUUGAAUUUGAUACAAAGCCAAAAUUGGUUAUAAGCCAGAAAAGAGUGUCGAAACCUUAGUGUGCGAGUUUUGGCGGUGCCUGCUGGGCCUGUCGCGUGUGACCUCUAGUGGAGGCACCCCCUGCCUCGCGUGUGGUGGCUCUCUUGUUCCUACAGAGCUUUGGUGGCCUCACCCCAUUGAUUAAAGCUCUGUGUGUCCCUGCGGGCCAUGGGUCCAGUUCUCCUGCGGCCAGUUAGCUACGGCUAGUGGUCCGCCUCAGACUGCACCCCUCACCCCGCCUGCUGCCUGGCCCUUCACACCCUUAGCCCCGUGAGGGUGGGGUCAGUGAACUCAAAGGACAGCAUCCCCAGGAGCAUGACCCUCCGGCAGUCAUUUUAGUAGUGUCAUCCCCAGCUGAGUACGGAAUUGGCUUUCAGGGCCAAAUAAUGGUGCAGGGAGGGCUCACAGCACGGAGCCGCUUGGCUUCCCCACCGCCCACUGGCAUUUCCGAUUUCCUGCUGGUACAUACAGAGAUGGCAGGAGCCCAACUCGCGUCAAUGCCUUACUUUAUGGGCUUGUUAGGUGUUUGUAGCCGGGAAGCCUUGAGGGAAGGGUGGGCAUUCCCUGGGACACACUGCCAUCCUUUGAGGAAGUGCUCAGUGGUGUUGAAGGCACUGUCUACUCUUCUAAAAAUCCAGCAGCAAGACUUGGCAGCAUGGAUCGAUCCCCUGUUCCUGGAAAAUUAGAUGACAGUUCCAGAAUUUCUCAGAAAACGGGAUGAUUUACAAUGGGUUCCAGUCUUGAGCAAUCUGCAAUUAUAGUAAUUAGAUAAAUCUCCAGGGUUUUAUAGAGAAAAUUUCUUCUUAAAAUCUUCAACAUACAAAUAAUUUUCUAAUUCUAGCUGUUCCCACAUAGCUGUGGCUUGGAUUAGAUGGUUUGUCAAUGAGUCACUGAUACGUGGUUUUUUUGACGUACGUAGAAGCAUGGAAUUGUUGUCACACGUAAUCAUCUUGCCUUCAGCAGCAGGCAUGGAGGCAGCAACCUGAGCGGGGGUCACGGGUCUGGCAAGAUGAGAAUAUCAGGGCAGAAGAGGCCAUUUCGCCCACUGAGCACCAGAGAUGUGUUUGUGUCUGUGAGGUAUGUGCAUGUUUAAUGUCGGUGGCACCGAAGAGAACAAGUUAUUGUCCAGAUGGUGAAGAUCUUCUCCUCAGAGCUACUAUAAUAAAACAUUUAAUUUGUAUCCUACAAUUUUGUGCUUAUUGAAUUACUUUGAUCCUAAAAUGCCAUAUGUCAAUUUUAACGACAGCUUUUCAGUCCAAAUAAAGAAAAAGAUGCUUAUGUAUAGUCCCCAAAUGUGCAUUGACGGUGCAGUGUUUGCAUUUUUAAAACGUUAACAUGGGUGUGUGUGUCUUAGAAUCAUUGAAAAUGACAAAUAAGUAAAUAGAAACAUAAACACGCAAAUGAGUUUGCAUUCUAUUCUGAAUGCUUCUCUUUUUAAUGCCUAGGUCUUGUCUUCUCAGACAGCAUCUUCAUCUUAAGUACAGGCUUGAAGUCUUAGAUUUCUUCUGAGUAAAAUCAUACUUUCUAUGUCUUAUUUUUAUUCUGUGUCUGAUACUGUGGCAAGCACUCUGCAUGUGUUAUUUUCUCUAUUUUUUUCCCCAAGGAAAUCAAGGCUUGCAGAUACUGGUUCCUUGCCCAGGGUCAUGCAGCUUGUGUGCGUUAAAUCACAGAUCAGGCUUGUGGGGUGGAGCCCAAAGCCUGUGCCCUGAGCUGCUCUGCCAGCCGUUUGCUCCUUGGCAUUAUGUGCUUGCCUGGCAGGUGUGUAGUGCCUCUUCAGUUGUAAGGUCUGAAAGUUUAUGAUGUACCUACAAAGACUAAAACUUACCUGCUGGUGUGUUGUUAUUACAUUGUCAGGUGGGCAGCAGGUGGAUAGCAGGUGGGCAGCAGGUGGACAGGUAGGCAGCAGGUAGGGCGGCAGGCAGGCAGGUGGCAGCAGCAGGCAUGACUUCGUGUACAGGUGUAGCUUCUUGCAGGGGUGUUUCCCCGCCACACAUGAUGGUACCUUGGGUACUCAGAGUUGGAAAGGCAUCAUGGUAUACCUGGUUGGAGCAUGAAUCCUUGAGUCAACUGUGUUUCCCUUGUUUUAUGUCACUGAUUACCAGAGGGAAGGGAACUCAUUACCCCCAGAGACAGCCUACUUACUUGCCAUCAAUGAAAAUGAGCCUGCCUGUAACAUCAAGUGCUCCCUCUGGCCUUCUCGGUAACACGGAGCAAGUCGAUUCUCUCGCCCUGUGUAUGAAGUUAUGUGUCAUGUAUCACUCGGCCCCCAGCUCCUUGAGGCAUCCUUCCUUUGUUGGGAUUGGUGGCAUCUUCCCCUGUUCCCAUCCUCCUGUUUUGCCUACCCCUAUUCAAGGCAGAUGACCAGAACUGCUCCACACUCCAGGUGGGGCUGACCGCAUCAGAGCUGGGAUGGCUAUCCUGUUCUUCUUUUAGGGCACCAUACUCCCAUAUAUCAUUUUUACUCAAGAUUGGCCUUUCUGAGGACAGGUGUCUCCCCACAUCCCUACCCCUAGGUGACCUGGGCAACCGUGUUUACUUCUAGCCCAUGAUAAGUCCAGAAAUGGAGAAAAUGUGGUUAGAAACUUUCAUAGCAAUUUGAGUGUUGAAUUUAAUAGUAACAGUGUGGGUGUGUAUCUUAUCUUUGUCUUGUUUAUUUCAUUUUCUAGUAAUUUGUUUCUGUCCUGCUUAGGAAGCAUUUAGAAUUGGCAGAUUGAUAAUAGUAACAGCAGGAAAAACUCCUUCCCCACAGGUGGGUUGAGAAGUGCUAGUCUGGACUGUCUCGAGAUUUCAGUCGUGCUUGUGGUUUUUCUGUCUGUGGCAACUGGUGUUUGGAACUGAAGUUCAAGCUUUGCCUUUAUGGCCCAUCAUGGCCUUGGCGUGUCCUUCCUGUGUGGUGAGAUUUCACAAGGCGCUGUUGGGACUUCCGAGCCCACUGCCUCUGGCCAGUGGAGGGUCGUGUAGGGACAACCUCUACCCACUCCCGCUGUGUCCUCCGCUCUUCCCGAGAGACCAGUGUGACGCCCGCUGUCCUUGUGCAGAUCGUCCUUGCCUGGCUGCUCACCACUGCCCUGGGGUGUGGGGGUUGCGGGGUUCCAUGUGGGGAGUCCCCCUGUGGCUGUCAUUGUGACCCACCUCCCACCUUCCUGUAUCUGUUAAUCUUGAGCAGGUUUUCUAGUCCCGGCUCAGCUCCACCAAGAGCCAGCACCCUUUGUGGGAGGCCACAUGGCCAGUAGGAAGUGAGCCAGACCAGGGGCCAGGCUGGCUUGGGUUCCAGUCCCAGUGCUUCCGCUGGGUGUGUGAGACUUCUAGCACUUAAGCUGGUACUUUUAUGAAAUGAGAGCCCCAAGGGCUAGAUGAGUGGGCCUUAGGAAUUCCCACCCGACCCAGGGCACCAGGGACCAGAGCGUGAGACCCUGGCAGGGGCAGUCUGAGCAUGGCCUUUGCUGUUGGAAUCCAAGGGGCUGGGUCCCUGAAGGUGCCUCCCUCCUCUUCCUUUGCCCCCAAAGUGGUUCAUGAGGCAGUGAGGGGCUGGCCGAGGAGUUUCCCCUCAUUCCAGACCUCACUUGAAACCCAGCUUAGUUUUGAGAUGGGACCAAACUGCAUGAGUACAUUUCAUUUUGUUCUUUGGGCAAUGAGGAAAUGACUGUCACUUUCUUAGUGAUUGUUCAUUCUGGGAAAACAAAAGUGUUUAAAACGCAGCCUGGGCUUAAAGAAAGUGUAAGGAUAGUAGAGGGAAGAAGAAGGUUCACUACCCCACUGAGCAGUGUGGUUGGGCUUGGAGCCCAGAGUCUCCAGCAGGCCCUGCUGUUUCAUGACAGCUGGUGGGACAGACUCGACCUUCCGCCUGAGGCUCCAGAGAUGGAGUUCGAGGCCUUUGCUAACAAGGAAAUCAUUGCUUCACUGAAACCUUUCCCUCCUUUCAGAGAGGAAAAAGCACUAUUUGUUGUUGUUAAAUAUCUUUGCAAGUCAUACUUUGCUUUACUUACCUCUUCAUAACUUUGCUAAAAGUAAAGUAAAUUUUAUAUAAAUGUGGUUUCAAUUGGUCUUUGGGCUCAAGUUCUUGUCAUUUGCAAGAUGCUUAUAUGUAUUUUUCACCUUCACAAGGAGAGAAUGUGGCCUUUCUAGCUUCUGCAGCGUGAGGCCAAGUGACAGUCCACCUGACCGCCAAGACGCUUCUGCAUUCCCAGGGCAGGGAGCGAAGCAGCACGGAUCUGCUGGGCGAAGAGAGGGUUCCCGCCUGGGUGGGAUGGGGUGGGUCCGUGCAGGGUUUCAUCACGCUGUUCGGGAGGGCAAACAUUUUAAACCUGAGCUGUUUUUUUUCGGGAAUUGUCUGUUUCAUAUUUUCAGACCACAGUUGACUGUGGGUAACUGAAACCGUGCAAAAAGCAAAACCUUGGAUGAGGGAGCACUGCUGUAUUCUCCAAGCAAGUUUAAAGCAGGUUCAUGGCUGGGCGCUUUCACCGUGUUAUAAUGAUUUGAACAUGGCAAGUAACACACAUGGUACUCGUGUCAGUGGUUUAUGAACCUUUCAGUGAAGCAGGAUAUUUCUUUCCUUUCUGGAUCCUGGAUGAAGAGGGCGUUUAUUACGGCAGUUUCCCUUGCUGGAAUGGGUGCUGUGAAACUUCUGUGUUCCCUCCGUCGCAGGAGAGAAAAUCUGUCGGAUGCUUAUUGUAAGUGCUCGACAGAGAGAAAUGAAAUGGUUUAAACAAGCAGUAAAUACAUUGACAAAAAUUUGGGCAAUUACGAUCGUUUCUUUAAGGGACAAAGGAACUUUGAAAUUAUUCCUUUUACUAAAUGCAUACAGAGUAAUUUAAACAUGAUCUUUACUUAAAUUUCUAUUUUCAGUGUCUGGUCUUUAAGGCUGUAACCAUGUUUGAGCUCUGUUUUAUUACUCACGCUGAAUUUGUGAGGGCGUGCGAGAAUCCUGCGCUCUCGUGGUUAUUCUUCUCUCUGGGCAUGUGGUGCCUUCUUUGCUGGCCUCCCCGUCUGGGAUGUGCUGUGCCCUCUGCUCUGUGCUCAUUCGGCACCUGGUGUCCGAUGGGCCCCAUCACCUGCUCUGGCUGCCACCAGUUAUGAACCUCGGCACGAGGGACUACUUAAGCCUCACAAUCUUGUCUUUGUCAGGCAGCAAAUACUCUCACUUUGGCAGUUUCCUCAAAACACUAACUGUUUAUGUGUGUAUAAGGCAGACCCUGAGAAAGGGACGCCUGAUACCUUUUUUUUAUUGUUGUUAUUUUACUAACUAGGGAGAAACAAAAAAAGUAUUUGAAGUUACUGUGAUAUGAAGAUUAUUUCUAACUUCUGUGAGAUUUCCCUAUGAUUGAUCCCUAAGAAAAAAGUAAAUAUUUAGCUCCUGAAGAUGGAUUCCAUCUGCAGCUGUGCGAGGGCUUCUCUGGGGCGUGGUGAGUGGGUCUACGUUCUGUGAGGGUGUUCAGCCCUGCUCUGAGCAGCCGGGGUGGCAGGGGUGGGAGGAGCACAGUGUGUCGCCACCAGUAGCUUCUAGGUGCCAGAGAACCUAUUUAGGGUACAGGAACUGGGAUUUGAUCACUUGAUAGAACUGCUUAAAGAAGAAACAUUAUAAAAGAAGUAAAGUCACAGGAAAAACAAAAUUUUUCAUUAUCAGUAGGAAAUUUCAAAGUAUGUUGGAAAUGUAAGGGACUAGUUAUAAUAUUUAUUUCAUGGAGAAAGUCUAUCUCCUAUAAUUGUUAAGGAUGGUCACAACUUUUUUUUUUCAAUUUUAUAAAUGCUUUAUUUAGUAAGCAUUGUUUAUUUCAACUUUUAAAGUUCAUUAGUGAGUUUUUAAGCCUGUAAAUGAACAUCUUAGCUUAAGGUGUUCAAUAUAACCCAUUUAUUUUAGGGGUACUCUAGGAGAAAUUGGAAAUGAGCUUAUUAGGAAAUAGGAUUAGGAAGCUAGGAUUUCCCUUUUAAAUACAUAUUUAGAAAGAUAGAAAUUGAUUAUUUUCUAAAAACCAAUAUGAAAGCACUAUAAAAUAAUGUUCUAUACCAAGUAGUUUCAGGUCAUUAGUGAGAUUUUAUUUUAUAGUGUAUAUGGAUGUAUACACAUACAUAUAUAUAUAUAGAAUAGUAUAUAUAUGUGUGUAUACAUAGCACCUUAAUUGCUUUUAAAAAUGAUGUUGAAUCUUGCAGUUUUACAGACAUCCAUUUUACAGUGAUCAGAUCUCCCCAAAUGUAAGUUUUUCUCUGAUAUCAUACUCCAUUUAUCUUGACCAUGGAAUGAGAGUGGCUUGAAAUUGUUCUUAAUGUGAAAUUAAAAACAAAACAAACAAAACUAAAAAGACAUAACAUAUCACUUCUUAGACCAUCAGAUGGUUUGUUUUGGUAAAUUCGGGAAGAUGACGGGAAGGCCUCCAAGGAUAGGAGGCCCCUAACUGUUUAGGGGUCUCUCAUUGGGAGAUGUGGGAAGGGAGAAGGUUCUCUUCUGCACACCACAGUGGCAGCCCGAGUCCCAGUUAAAGAAGAGAAAUGCCACCGUCGUUGUUGGCGCAUUUGGGGAUGCGCUCACCAGUGAAGGUGAGAAUGUUAAGGUGCUUUGUAGAGACUGUGAACUCUGUCUGCGGGGACCUUCUGUGUGCCUCUGGCUUUGCUCUGGGACACCUGUGGGGCUCGUCCGUCCUCCUGACAAGUCUUCCUCCUGGGCCCCUUACCAGUUCCGCUUAAAUUGCAGCCUCCUCCCUGUUUAUUCUGCUCAAGUCUUUUCUUUUAUGCCAUAGCACUGCCCUCUGAAAUUCUAGACAAGUAAAUUGCGUGGUGUGUUUAUUGCUUACUGUCUAUUUUCUCC